rnacentral:lncRNA from 1 species
UUGUUGUGAUGGUUAGAGAUAGGGUUAGGGUUGUUGUGAUGGUUAGAGAUAGGGUUAGGGUUGUUGUGAUGGUUAGAGAUAGGGUUAGGGUUGUUGUGAUGGUUAGAGAUAGGGUUAGGGUUGUUGUGAUGGUUAGAGAUAGGGUUAGGGUUGUUGUGAUGGUUAGAGAUAGGGUUAGGCUUGUUGUGAUGGUUAGAGAUAGGGUUAGGGUUGUUGUGAUGGUUAGAGAUAGGGUUAGGGUUGUUGUGAUGGUUAGAGAUAGGGUUAGGGUUGUUGUGAUGGUUAGAGAUAGGGUUAGGGUUGUUGUGAUGGUUAGAGAUAGGGUUAGGGUUGUUGUGAUGGUUAGAGAUAGGGUUAAGGUUGUUGUGAUGUGGGGUAGUCUACUGGUGUUGUCCACAUGGUCCUGUGGGUGGGGUGGUGUACAGUCUGGUUGGAUAAUGUCAUUAUCUAUAAAAGGUAAAAGAAGUCGAUCGUUUGUUUGAAGAGAAGCUUCAAGUCUGUUUCAACACAAUGCUCUUAACAUCUUACCAGAAAUAGGCUGACAGAUUCUUCUGUAGCUGUGGUAUCAUCACUGCCUCAUCUUCAAAAGGAGGGAGACUUUAGACAUGAUUUUCAGUUUUGGCUCGAGGGCCACAUCGGGAUUUUGAAAUUCAACGGAGGGAUGCAUUUUUUGGGGGACCAAUUGUUUGUUAUAAUCAAUUUGCGGGGGCCUCCCGAGUGGCGCAGCGGUCUAAGGUACUGCAUCGCAGUGCUAGAAGCGUCAUUACAGACCCGGGUUCGAUCCCGGGCCGUGUCAUAGUUGGCCGUGACUAAAACACCCAUGAGGCGGCGCAUAAUUGGCCCAUUGUCGUCCGGGUUAGGAGAGGGUUUGGCAGGCCAAGAUUUCCUUGUCCCAUCGCGCUCUAGUGACUCCUGUGGCAGGCCGGGCGCAUGCACGCUGACACGGUCGCCAGGUGUACGGUGUUUCCUCCGACACAUUGGUGCAGCUGGUUUCCGGGUUAAGCGGGCAUUGUGUCAAGAAGCAGUGCGGCUUGGCUGGGUUGUGUUUCGGAGGAUGCUGGGUCGUGUUUCGACCUUCGCCUCUCCCGAGUCCUUAAGGGAGUUGCAGCGAUGGGACAAGAAAGGGCUAAAUUAUUUUUCUUUUUGUCUCGUGGGCCAGAUUGAACUGCCCCGCGGGCCGUACUUUGCCCCCCUCCCCCCUUGCUCUAAGGUAUAUGCAGGACUUGGGCAGGAGCUCACAGGAGCCGAGUACAGGCACCUGAAAUGUUCAACUGCUUGAACUCCUGUUCCUGUUAUUGAAUAUUAUCUCAAAAGUAUUGUGGAACUCCUGCACCUAAAUAUAAGCAGUACUGGCAACCAAAAUGAGUACCGACACCUAUUUCAAUCCAUCUCAAGCACUGGGUAUAUGUUAAAGCAAUCGUCUUAGUCGUGAGAACAGGACAACUUAUCACGGGACACUGUCUCAACACAACAUGCUUGUUUGUUUGAAGCCCUUCUAGUAUUGGUAAAGACAAACCAUUUAUUGGGAAAAAAAUGGUAUCAAAUCAAAGUGUAUUUGUCACGUGCCAUGUACAACAGAUGUAGACGUUACUGUGAAAUGCUUACUGACGAGCCCUUUUCCAAAACAACGCAGAAUUACAAUGUAAUAAUUGAAUGGUAAAGAAAAUGCAAUCGAAUUCUGCAUCGUUCUAUUGUCUGUUUCUAGUAUCAACGUUCCAACAAAGUCCAUGUCAGGGCAAUAUAAUAAUACACAUACCCUGGCCUGGCUCUUGAUAUACCCUGGCCUGGCUCUUGAUAUACCCUGGCCUGGCUCUUGAUAUACCCUGGCCUGGCUCUUGAUAUACCCUGGCCUGGCUCUUGAUAUACCCUGGCCUGGCUCUUGAUAUACCCUGGCCUGGCUCUUGAUAUACCCUGGCCUGGCUCUUGAUAUACCCUGGCCUGUGUGCCAGGCUCUUGACAACUUCUUAUGGAAUUGCCUUUUGGCUUGAAAAUAACAUUGGAGUUGGCACCCAGGCUAUAUACAGUGCCUUCGGAAAAUCUUCAGACCCCUCGACUUUUUCAACAUUUUGUUACGUUACAACCUUAUUCUAAAAUGUAUCAAAUGAAAAUGUACAUACAGUACCAGUCAAAAGUUUGGACUCAUUCAAGGGUUUUUCUUUAUUUUGACUAUUUUCUACAUUGUAGAAUAAUAGUGAAGACAUCAACACUAUGAAAUAACACAUAUGGAAUCACGUAGUAACUAAAAAAGUGUUUAAACAAAUGAAAAUAUAUUUUAUAUUUCAGAUUCUUCAAAGUAGCCAUCCUUUGCCUUGAUGACAGUUUUGCACACUCUUGUCAUUCUCUCAACCAGCUUCAUGAGGUAGUCACCUGGAAUGCAUUUCAAUUAACAGGUGUGCCUUGUUGAAAGUUAAUUUGUGGAAUUUUUUUCCUUAAUGCGUUUGAGCCAAUCAGUUGUGUCGUGACAAGGUAGGGGUGGUGUACAGAAGAAGCCUGUUUGGUAAAAGACCAAGUCCAUAUUAUGGCAAGAACAGCUCAAAUAAGAGAAGUGACAGUCCAUCAUUACUUUAAGACAUAAAGGUCAGUCAAUACGAAAAAUGUCAAGAACUUUGAAAGUUUCUUCAAGUGCAGUCGCAAAAAAACAUCAAGCUCUAUGAUGAAACUGACUCUCAUGAGGACCGCCACAGGAAAGGAAGACCCAGAGUUACCUCUGCAGCAAAGGAUAAAUUCAUUGGAGUGUUAUUUCAGUGUUGAUGUCUUCACUAUUUCAGUUUUGAUGUCUCUUCACUAUUAUUCUACAAUGUAGAAAAUAGUCAAAUGAAAAGAAAAACCCUUGAAUGAGUAGGUUUUCUAAAACUUUUGACCGGUACUGUAUAUGUCUUGGACCAGGCUAUAUAUGUUUGUCUGUAUCUUUUCUGUUAACAAUGUAUUAGUGUAUCGUAUUUUCUUUAUUUCUUGAUGCGCAUAACUGUUGGCUGAGCAGCAGUCCUCGACUUGGGCUGGAGCUGAGUACCAGCACCUCAAAUGUUCUACGGCUUCAGCUCCCGUUCCUCUUAUAGAAUAUCAACUCAAAUGUAUUGUGGAGCUCCUGCACCUGAAUAUAAACAGUAACGACACCUAUUUCAGUCCAUGUCGAGUACUGCUGAGCAGUGUGGAAGGGAGGGGCUAACGCUGGUGGUUUUAUAUAGAGAAAAAUAGCUCUGGUCCAGGGUGUGGUUUGGUAAUGUUCUCAGCGUCGCCCUGGACCAGAGUUAAAGAUAUGAACGUCAGCACGUCCAUUAUAGAUGUACAUAGUGUAUUUCUCUGCUUUGGUUUACGACAAUAUAAGCUGUUUUUCUUACUUUAUACGUUUGUACUUCUGUGAAAUAAAGAUUAUUAUUUUAUCACAUGCUUGCUCUUUACUAUUCUAUAGAUUACUACUAGAAGGUUGGAAAAUUAUGGGAACUUUCCCAAAACUUCC